GACGAACGCUGGCGGCGUGCUUAACACAUGCAAGUCGAACGGAAAGGCCCCUUUGGGGGUACUCGAGUGGCGAACGGGUGAGUAACACGUGAGUAACCUGCCCUUGACUUCGGGAUAACUUCAGGAAACUGGGGCUAAUACCGGAUAGGAAUCCUUGCUGCAUGGUGGGGGUUGGAAAGCUUCGGCGGUUUUGGAUGGACUCGCGGCUUAUCAGCUUGUUGGUGGGGUAGUGGCUUACCAAGGCUUUGACGGGUAGCCGGCCUGAGAGGGCGACCGGCCACAUUGGGACUGAGAUACGGCCCAGACGCCUACGGGAGGAAGAAGUGGGGAAGAUUGCACAAUGGGCGGAAGCCUGAUGCAGCAACGCCGCGUGCGGGAUGACGGCCUUCGGGUUGUAAAACGCUUUCAGCAGGGGCGAAGCUUGUGGUGACGGUACCUGCAGAAGAAGCACCGGCUAACUACGUG
rnacentral:rRNA from 1 species